UAUCCGUAGCAUCCCGUAAAGGAUAGAUGGCGUUGACCAAACUGGCCUGUACUCGCCGUUAUAUACCCACCCCAUGCAGCAAAAGCACACAUCGCGACCAGUUGUAUAAAAAUGGAGUAGAAAAUUAUAAUUUUCAAAGCAAGGGAAGAACUCCAUGGAAAAUGUUUCUCAAUUUUGGAAUACUACUUGUUUUGUCCCAAGGACUCCUUGGCGAAAUUGACGCUUCGAAAGCUAUUGAUGGAGACAGCCGAAUAAUAGGUGGCAGUGAUGCCACUCCAGACAUGGCUAAGUACCAAGUUUCAAUUCGUAUUACUAGCGGAAACAAAGAAUAUCUACUUUGCGGAGGAUCUAUUUUAAACGAGGAGUACGUGUUAACAGCGGCUAAUUCCUUUAAUGAGUACUUUAUCAAAAAUAUGUCAAUAGUCGUUGGCACAUACACGAUGGAUAAAGGCGGUGAUCGAUACAAGAUUAAGAAAUUUAUCCCUCAUGAGGAGUUUUCUGAAGAGACUCUAAAGAAUAACAUAGCCAUCGUACAGAUUGUAGGCAAAUUCAAAUUCGGUGAUAAUGUUCAACCCAUUGAGUUGUUAAAAGAAAUGGCACCCAUUGGAAAAAAAAAUGUAUCUUGACUGGCUGGGGAUAUAUACACAAACAUAUAAACUAUGGGAAGAGAAUUUUUGCAAACAAUCUACAAAUGUUGGAGUUCGAAACUAUAAGCAAUAAGAUCUGCACUAGACAAUUAAAAAGCUCGCCUUACCCGAGAUAUGUGCCCGUAGACGCCGGACAACUCUGCGCUAAGCGCCCGGACGACAAAGGUGCAUGCAUUGGUGAUAAUGGUAGUCCUCUCGUCAUUCAGGACGAUAAGAAGAAAUAUAUUCAAAUAGGAGUCGCGUCAUGGUCAGUUCCCUGCGCCGAAGAAUAUCCCGAUGUCUUUUCUUCGGUCCAUGGUUUUUACGAUUGGAUACAGAGCAAAAUUAAAUGAAAUUAUAUGAAAUAUAAUACAAAAUUACUUCAUUAA